GUGUAUGCACUGCCCCAUUACACAGCCCACAUUACUGUAGCGUAUCAUUUCUCUCCGUUUUUUAUACUGAAACAAACCCUGCGUUGCCACUCAGCUCUCUUUCCAUUCCCUCUGUCUAUAAUCAUUACAUUAUCAAACAUUUUCUCA